UAAAGAAAGCGUAAUAGCUCACUGGUCGAGUCGGCCUGCGCGGAAGAUGUAACGGGGCUAAACCAUGCACCGAAGCUGCGGCAGCGACACUGUGUGUUGUUGGGUAGGGGAGCGUUCUGUAAGCCUGCGAAGGUGUACUGUGAGGUAUGCUGGAGGUAUCAGAAGUGCGAAUGCUGACAUAAGUAACGAUAAAGCGGGUGAAAAGCCCGCUCGCCGGAAGAC
rnacentral:rRNA from 1 species